rnacentral:rRNA from 1 species
UCGGGAAUUUUGGGCAAUGGGCGAAAGCCUGACCCAGCAACGCCGCGUGAAGGAUGAAGUAUUUCGGUAUGUAAACUUCGUAAGAAUAGGAAGAAUAAAUGACGGUACUAUUUAUAAGGUCCGGCUAACUACGUGCCAGCAGCCGCGGUAAUACGUAGGGACCAAGCGUUGUUCGGAUUUACUGGGCGUAAAGGGCGCGUAGGCGGCAUGACAAGUCACUUGUGAAAUCUCUGGGCUUAACCCAGAACGGCCAAGUGAUACUGUCGCGCUAGAGUGCAGAAGGGGCAAUCGGAAUUCUUGGUGUAGCGGUGAAAUGCGUAGAUAUCAAGAGGAACACCUGAGGUGAAGACGGGUUGCUGGGCUGACACUGACGCUGAGGCGCGAAAGCUAGGGUAGCAAACGGGAUUAGAUACCCAAGUAGUCCCUGAGCGGGCUGGCAAGGCGCAU